UUUCUUUUGCAAUCAAAACCAUAAAAAAAAAACAAACAGGCGAGAAACAUCCUGAAUGGAGACGUCUGACAUUCCAGUCACAAGACCCUAAGUAAAGAACUUGUAAUAGUAGUAAAAAAGUAGUGUUUUGACUGCAGCAAUGGCUGGUACGUUUGGUUUGUUCCCUUGGCGGAGUAUAUUGAUUCUUGGCUCUCAGUUUAACAGUUUAAGUUCAAGUUGUAUCGAGGAGCUCUGACUCAUGAUUUCACUGCAGUGGAUUCCUGUGUCUCUGUUGCAUUGGCAGUGAGGAUCAUUCAGUCUCCUUGGAGAUGAAAAAAGACAGUGCUGCAGAAGAGAGAAGCUGACAUUUUCCAGCACCUUCGUGUACCUUCACCCAAGUGACUGCUCAUCCCUUUGGCACGGGGAGCUCAGAAAGACCCCAAAGUUCUUCUGCACAGACCAGAUGUACUUUUCUGUUUACAGAGAUGCAAGUAGUCCAAAAGCCAUCCAUUCUACCUUCAUAGAAAAAGUGCCCAUGGUAUCUGUUUUUUGCUGUUGUUUGUUGUUGUUGUUGUUGUUGUUGUUGUUUUGUUUUCUUCUGGUGUAUUUUCCAUGAAAAAAAAUAGUUCUCAUUUAUAUUACAGACAGAUUUGAUCCUAUUGCGUUGGUAACUCCAGCAGAGGAUUAACUACAAGUAGGGAAACUAGCUAUGUCUGCACUUAAACCCAGCGUAUGUAUAAUUUCAACGAUGGUUGGUAGUAUUCUUGUGGUGCAAUGAACCAGCUGCCCUUCUGGAUAUAGGCAAGUGGUAAAUAAGACUUUGAAUUUAUGCCCAGAAUAGAUGAAGCAGGGACCCCUUGCGAAACCAAACUGUUGUUAUAGGAACAAGGAGACAAACAUGUCUUAAAAUAACCAGGCUGAUGAAUUGGAAUUAAUAAUAGUCUUUUCCCACCUGAUUUUCAGAGAAAUGUGGUUCAAACAUAUCCAGCUGGCAUGUUCAGACAUGUUUCUGGUCUCUUGGCUGUUUAACUAAUAUUUUCAGAUGUUGUUCUGAAUGAGAACUCAGAAAUUACUAUUUCUGAAUAAAGCAGAGUGGAAGAAGCA
rnacentral:lncRNA from 1 species